UGUCAUCCACAUAGAGAUGGCACCGAACUCCAAAACUCCGGAUGACCUCACCCAGCAGUUUCAUGUAGAUAUUUAAAAGCAUGGGGGAAAGAACAGAACCUUGCGGGACCUCACAGGUCAAAGGCCAGGGGUCCAAGGAGGUAUCUCCCAGCUUCACCAUCUGUGAGUGGCCCUCCAGGAAGGAGUGGAACCACUGUAGUACAGUGCCCCCAAUCCUCAUUCCUGAAAGCCGCCCCAGAAGGAUACCAUGUUGAUGGUAUCGAAAGCCUCUGAGAUGUCCAAGAGAACCAACAGGGUCACACUCCCCCUGUCAAGUUCUCUGCAGAGGUCAUCCACCAAGACGACCAAAGCCGUCUCAGUGCUGUGACCAGGCCUGAACCCAGACUGGAAUGGGUCAAGAUAAUUGGCUGCAUCUCUCCCGUGAACUGGCUAUUUAAACCCACUAGAGUACACAGAAAUAUUAGGAAGGUAGAAUCUAUAGACAGGAGUAACUUACUAAAGGAACAGACAAAGCAACACAAUGAUCGCAUCAUUUGACCAUUAACUUUAACACAAUUCACUCCAAAAAUCCACAAAAUUAUUAGAAAACAUUGGCACCUAAUUAGAGAUAUCCCUGGAUGCCAAAACUUACCACUAUUAGCCAACAAACGCUCGAGAAAUCUUAAGGACAUAUUAAUAAACUCUGAUUUAAUAAAACCCAACUUUUUGAAGAAAUCCAACCUUAGAGGCCACACAAACUGUGGACAUUGUGCUGUUUGUUCUCAGUCUGUUAGAAUCAAACAAUUUAUACAUCCUACUUUAAAAUUCAAUAUACAACUAUGAAGUUUCACUACAUGUAACACUGACCAGGUCAUUUAUGCUAUAGAGUGUCCUUGUCAGCUCUUAUAUGUGGGCAUGACCUCUAGAUCUCUAAAGACCAGAAUAUUAGAACAUCGCUCCCGUAUCAAGAAUAAAGCAUCAGAUUCCAUCCUUUAGACACAUUUUUUAGAGAAAUCGCACUCCUAUACAAGUUUUAGAUUCUGUGCUUUGGAAAGGAUGACCAUAAAACCCCGUGGGGACAUAAAAAGGAUUUUACUACAGAGGGAAGCCUUUUGGAUAUUUAAAUUACAUACAGUCCAUCCACAUGGCUUAAAUGACAAAUUAGAUCUUUCUUGUGUUUGUAAUUACCCUGAAUGAGUUCUCCAAGUAGCUAGCAAUCCUUAAAAAGGGAGCUACCUCCAUGAGCUGAUUGCUCACAGGUGGAAGGCAGAAGGAUCAUUAUCCACAGUGAAGCAUCACAGCAGAGCCACAAACUCCUUAGUGGAAUGUACAAAAGCUUCAGGAGAGUCUACUACAAAUACAUGAAAGAACCCUCAGAAGCUACCUGAAGAAGGGAUUUUGAUCCAGAAACAAGGAUUACAAAAUACCCGGGAAUCCUUGUUGUUCUACAUUCUUUUAUGUUUUACAUUCCUUUUGUGCAUCUCCAAUACAUUAAUUUGCAUGGGACAUUGAUGAAUUUAUCUAAAGUGUGAACCACAGUUUAUAGAAGAAAUUAUCAGUUGUUUAUUCCUGUGACCAUGCAUUUCUAAGACUUUUAUCUACGUGGGACAAUUCAAAGUGUUGUAUUCAGUUACUGACCAUACUUAUUUGUUACUAAAAAAACAUACAAGCAUGAAUAUAAUGUUUGAUGCAAUGUUGUAAACAGUUUUCAUUUGUGUAUUACUCAUGCGCUUGUAAGGAUCAUAAUUUGUCUGUUAUCAUUGUUCUGUUCUGUAUAUUAGUUAGUAAUAGGACAACUGUAUCUCUACACGUAUUUAAACCCACUGCCUAUGGCAAGUUUUUUAGCCUAUCCUAAUACCGCAAGGCUGCAUCUGACCAGCUUAGGGGGGCUCCAGAGUUGCAAAGGAUUGCUGGGAGCUGCCUUGUGCUCUCAUCCUGUCCCCCAGAACAAAGGUGCCUGUUGACACUGGCACCAUCUUUACUUGGAUAAAUUCUGAAGCAGUAUUAAGCUGGGAUGUUGUUUCCUUGCAAGCAUACAUCAUAUUUUAAAAUCACGGACUCCCCUUUGUUAUGUAAAACCAUCUUCUGGUUUUAUACUUUUGUGAAUACAUGUUGAUUCAUAGUAUAUGAGGAAAGACAGUAUAAACCACUUUCAACUCCGUUAUGAAGCAACAUUUAAAAAACAACGUGUUUUAGUAGAGUGUAACCUUAUCACUGGAGCUUUAUUUACAGUUUGCAUCUUCCCAACAAGGGUUUGAGCAUCCAUAUUAGCCUCCCAUAAUCGAGGCCCUCAAGAUCUUUGGGGGCCUCACUCCCUCCACCCAAGCCUUUUGACUGGAGAUGAUGGGAGAUGCAAUCUAACACAUUUGGAGGGUGCUUUGUAAGUGGAGGCUAAUCCAGAUUUUCUUCAGAGCCAUGGCUCUCAGCCCCCUCUUUCUUUUCCUCUUCCUCCCCCUCCCCCAAUCUCUUAGCAUGCUUGAUGGUAAUUUUAUUUGAUUGAAAUAUUAAUUCAUAUGGCAUGUUCCUUUUCGUCUCUGGGAGCUGGACUCUUUUAUUGAUUGAAAACACACAGCUAGAUACAAUAUUUGCAUCCCAAAAUUGAGAGAGGAAAAAAAAUUAAAUAGAAUGAUGAAGUAAUGCAGCUGCAGCUCAUGAAGUUCCUCUGUGUUUAUUCUCUCUGCCAUUUAAGAUGUGCAUGAAGAAACUUUCCUUUUUAAGAAGAUAGUAUAAACAGUUAAAAGGAAACACUGAGUACCUGUUUAUUUUAGCUGGGCGCUGCACAGAUACAGAGAAAGCUGCUGCUGCCCUUCAUUCUUACAUAAAUACACCAACGGAGUGACCAGAAGAAUCGCUACAGCCAGAGAGAAAUGCUUAGGAUUAGUUUAGUAUGUGUGAAGCAAAGAUUCUUUUUGCAGUGGCUCAACAACACUUACACAGGAUGGUUGUACCAUCAACGGUAUUUCAGAGGCAGUCCAAUACAUGACUCGAGCUGAAAGUUAUCUAGUCUUCCUACAACUUUUGUUUUGUCUUCCUUACAGCUUUUGUUUUCAUUUUGAUUUUCUGCAUUUGGUGUCUUUGCAUGCCCCCGCCCCCCAACAUACACACACUUCUUCUCCUCUACCUUUCUUUUUCCUUUUGAUCGAGAAUGGAUUUUGUUCUAUAAUUUAUUUUGUAUGUGCAGGUAGUGUUUUGUUACAUCUCCUUUUAAAAAAGACGAUUCUGUGUAUUUGAGGAGAGGGCAUUGAUAUAGAACCUAAAGUAAGCAUCUGGGUUUAGUUUCAACUGAAAUAAAUGAGCUGGGUUUCAACUGUAUAAGUGACAAUAUAAGAGGACAAUAUAAGCCAGGUGGUAGGCUGUUAGAAAUUGUGGGAGUUGAAGUCCAAAACAUCUGAAGGGCCCAAGUUUCUCCAUGCCUGGUAUAAGCUAUGUACCCGAAUAUUGUCCUCAAAACAUACAUGUGUUUUUGCAUUGUACAAGCUGUUGAAGAACAACUGGGCUUUUACACAAAACUUACUAGGGGAUAAUUUAGUUUGCAGGAUAUAUAAUAUGUCAUUAUUCAAUGCUCCACAAGUACUACCCUCUUGCAUGAGUUUCUGGAGCUGAGUGUAUGGACAAAAUCCUAGCGUGGCUGUGUGCUAAAUGAAUAAAUAGUAUUUGUUGCUUUUUUUCUUAAUGUACCUGGCAAUAUAAACUUUUGUUUCACUAUAUUUUU